GACCCAGAAAGUCUUCUUCAGCCCCUGAGACCUUUAAAUCCCAUGUUGUGAGACAAAAAAGAAAAGUUGUAAGCUUCUUGAGGUCGGGACUUCCAUUCAUUUUUGCUUCUUACUUAACGGUGUCAACCUGGAAUAAAGAGGACUACCAAAGAAGCGACAACAAGGGUCUCUAAUCCAGGGGAAGGCCAAGAAAAUGGACACCAUGAUUAAUUUUGGAGAAUGCAAAUCUCUAGUUGCUCUCCCCAGAAGUCUGUAUGUUGCUGAGCAAAUUUUAGCAUACCCAGUUUGAAAAGGAAAAGGACACCGGAAAUCUUGCUGGGGUAGAGUGAGUCUUGGGUGCUGAGAGUCCAAGCCAGGGUCAGGUGUGCCUGAUGGAUGGCCGGAGGUGGGGUGUGUUCUGCAACUAGAGAUGGGAGCAAGAGUGGAAGUAAUCAGAGUCUGGAGAGCAAGCCAGGUGCCGAGCUGGGGAUUAGGUCAGCAAGUGGGGCCUGAAGCUCUAGAGAAUCUGCCCAGCUUGCAAUGGAAUCACAACAAUUGCAGACCAAGCACAACAGCAGGUGAUCCAACGGCAAUGGAAAGACGAGUGGUAAUAAAUUGUGGUAUGAGAAUGCAACGGGAUAUUAUUGAAUCAUGAGAAAUGAAAGACUGAAGACAUUCAGAGGGACUUGGCUAGAUUUGCACAAACCAAUAUGGAACAAAGUGAACAGGAUAAGGAGAAUGAUUUACAUGAUGACUGCAAUAAUGUAAAGAGAAACAACACGGGAAAACUUCAGAGCUCUGCCCAUUGGAAGGCUCACCGGUGAACCUGAAGGAUGGAGGCUUCUGAGGUCAUGCCUCCUGCCUUUCUGCAGAGAGGUGCUGGGUUCCAGGUGUGGAAUGAAGCUUCCAGUUUCAGACAUUGCCUAUGUGUUACUGUUUUGAUUUACUUACAAAGAAAAGGCUCAGGGAUGAGUGGUUACUAGUAAUAAUUAUGUAACAAAAAGGCACCAAUAAAACAUUUUUGAAAGGACAAAUGGUGGGUUCAAGCUGUCUAUUACCAGUGAUCACUGGUGAAGGAGAGGCGGUAUUGGGGAUUCCAUCAAGGGCAUGGAUGAGCAGAAAAGGAGGUGGGUUGGAUAGGUAGUGGGACUGAAGAAAAUAGAUGAACAGCUUGGGUGUUGUACUGAUGUCUACAAAAUAUUUUUAAAAAAAAACCCAGGGAUAAUGUCCCAUGUUGGUUAGGCUCUUUAUGGAGGAUUUUGGGGAGAUGAAUGAAUGAAAAAAAAUUUAUUAAGCACUUAAUAUGUACCCUUCUGUUCCAGGGAAUACAAAUAUAAAAGUGGGAAAGUCCCUGUCCUCAAGGAGCUUACACUCUAAUAGUAGGAGAUAAGACAUAUAGAAGAGAGAUGGAUAGAGAGGGAUCUUUGGUCCGGGAAGUCACAGGGCUAGAGGGGCCCAUAUCGCUGUCAAUGGACACAUUCUUUCCAGAAACAAUAGUUAUAUUAAUUUAAUACUGUGUCCAAAGCAAUGGGUCGAAGGGGUCCAGAGUUAGAGAUGAGAGGGUAUGUGCUCUGGCAGGGUGGUAGGUAGCAAGAUACUAGUGGAUGAUGUGAUGCUAUGUAACACAAAAUAUUGGAUCAGUUAGAUAUAGUGGGCUAGGUGAGUUUGUCCUCACUCAUCUGUCAGGGCAGCUGAGCCUUAGGGUCAACUUCCAAAGCUGAGAGGAAUAGCUGGAAGGAGGGAGGGGAAGUAUGGUAUCUAGAGAUCAGAUACAGAGGAUAGACGCCCCAGGUAGGGGAGGUGGGGUAGUAACAGGGCAGAUGGUAACAGGUAUGGACAAAACCUGCACAGAAAGAAUAGGUACAGAUGGACGUGAUCUGCUUUGGUGGAGGCACCAUGGAUGGAUCAAUGGAUGAUUGAAGUAUUUCUACUUUGAUUUCAAAAGAUUUCUUGCCUUCUAAAUUUAUCUGGGACUUCUCAUGUGUUGAAGCAUAUGAAUUUUGUGAACCUUCCAGUAUAUAUUUGAUAAAUGUAUAUUUCUCUAUUUUUUCCAUUAAAUUCUCUCUUUUUAUCUCUCUCUAUCUCUCUUU